CACCUGAGGUCGGGAGUUCAAGACCAGC
rnacentral:piRNA from 1 species